AAGUUUUUUCAGACUCUGAGUAGUUUACAAGAAAAAAAAAAAAAAAUCUGUUCUUAGUUUAAUAUCUGAUACGUCCCCUAUCUGGGGACCAUAUAUUAAAUGGAUUUUUGGAACAGGGAGAUGGAAGAAGAGCUUGCUCUGUCCAUUCCACGCAUCGACCUGGUAUUGCAGUACCUCCAGGACCGGUGCACUUCUC
rnacentral:snRNA from 1 species